rnacentral:rRNA from 1 species
CCUACGGGAGGCAGCAGUUUCGAAUCGUUCACAAUGGGGGCAACCCUGAUGGCGCGACGCCGCGUGGGGGAUGAAGGUCUUCGGAUUGUAAACUCCUGUCAUUGGGGACUAAUGGCCAGGCUCAUACCCUGGUUUGAAUUAACCCAAAGAGGAAGCAGUGGCUAACUCUGUGCCAGCAGCCGCGGUAAUACAGAGACUGCAAGCGUUACUCGGAUUCACUGGGCGUAAAGGGAGCGCAGGCGGACUCAUGUGUCGGACGUGAAAUACCGGGGCUUAACCCCGGUGCUGCGUCCGAAACUAUGAGUCUAGAGACUUGGAGGGGUAAGCGGAAUUCUUGGUGGAGCAGUGAAAUGCGUAGAUAUCAAGAGGAACACCAACGGCGAAGGCAGCUUACUGGACAAGAUCUGACGCUCAGGCUCGAAAGCGUGGGGAGCAAAAGGGAUUAGAUACCCUGUAGUCCACGCUGUAAACGGUGCGCAUUAGGUCUUGGAGCUUUCGAACGCUCCAGGGCUCAAGCUAACGCGAUAAAUGCGCCGCCUGAGGACUACGGCCGCAAGGCUAAAACNCAAAUGAAAUUGACGG